UACGAAGGGUGCAAGCGUUACUCGGAAUUACUGGGCGUAAAGGGUGCGUAGGCGGUUGUUUAAGUCUGCCGUGAAAUCCCCGGGCUCAACCUGGGAAUGGCGAUGGAUACUGGGCAGCUAGAGUGUGUCAGAGGAUGGUGGAAUUCCCGGUGUAGCGGUGAAAUGCGUAGAGAUCGGGAGGAACAUCAGUGGCGAAGGCGGCCAUCUGGGACAACACUGACGCUGAAGCACGAAAGCGUGGGGAGCAAACAGG
rnacentral:rRNA from 1 species